UCUCCACCUGCUUUUAGAUCAUCACAGCAGGACAUACAUAAAGUUGCUGCCCACACAUCAGCUGCUCUUGAACAGGCCUCUGCCCAGAUCUCUGGCAACAUUCAAAGUCAAUUCGAACGGGAUCAUGCACUCCUGCGUGCUGUGGAGGAGUUGAAGGCCUUGGUGAGGCAGAACAACCUCCUCCUCCAGGCCCUUACUAGGCAAAAAACUACAGCAGCAGCAGCAGCAGACACUCUAUC